UGGCAAGCAGGGUGCGGUCCUGGCCCUGAGCAGUCCCCGGGGCCGGGAGGCGCUCCUGUGCCCUCUUCCCUCCCUGGUCCUUAGUCCCCGUUUCCUGGUCUGCCCGACACCACACAUCUCGGCGCUCUCCCAAGGCGCGCCCUCUUGGUCCUUGGCGGAGGUGCUGGAGGGGGAGAGUCCAGCAAAGGGCUCACUCGGUGUGCAAUCCUGGCCCUUGCUUCUAAGCACAGAGCGGGCACUAGCGGGGCCGGGCCAAGCCAGGGGCGGGCACAGCGGGGGACCAACGCCGGACCACAGGCAAAGGAAACGACAAGCAGGAUGAUGUCAGAGAAAUCUGGUGAGACUCACAGGGACCAAUGCAGAGCGAAGGGAGCAGAACGAGGGCAAGGUUGCCCGCAGUAACAGCACUUUACAACAAGGAUCAACUACUCUGAUGGAGCACGAUCCAAGACAAUUCUGAAGGCCCUGGGACGAGAAACGCUCCCCCCCCCUCCGGAGAACAGGCAGACUGUGAGCACACAGGGUCUCUUCUGGGAGUUCUGACUCCGUCCUCUCCACAUACAGAUGCAUACAGUCAUCAACUACUUAAAACAGAACUGGAGAGUCCUUGUACCUGUCUGUCUCACCUGUCUCCUCCUCUGAUAGAUGCAUCAAGGUUAAGGAGGACGAGGCUCUUAGUGAUCCAGACCAGAAUAUUAAACCUCUUAUCUUUUUUGCUCAAGACAAUGAUCCAAGACAAUGCCAAAGGAUUCCUGGUGGAAAAUGCUGUCUGCCUCCAAAGAGUACUAAGGAACUCUGAGUAAGACAGAAGCACUUUUUUCCCUCUUUCU